rnacentral:misc_RNA from 1 species
UCCGAGUUGACCCCGGCAGUCUCCCAUGAGUCCCCGCCAUUACGCGCUGGCAACAUGGAACGAGGGUUGCGCUCGUUGCGGGACUUAACCCAACAUCUCACGACACGAGCUGACGACAGCCAUGCAGCACCUGUGCUCGAGCUCCGAAGAGGGGCCCCGGUCUCUCGGGGCUUUCUCGAGCAUGUCAAGCCCAGGUAAGGUUCUUCGCGUCGCAUCGAAUUAAACCACAUGCUCCACCGCUUGUGCGGGCCCCCGUCAAUUCCUUUGAGUUUCAGCCUUGCGGCCGUACUCCCCAGGCGGGGCACUUAAUGCGUUAGCGCCGGCACCCAGGGGGUCGCUCCCCCAGGCACCUAGUGCCCAUCGUUUACGGCGUGGACUAC